GAAACCUCUGGUAAAAUGCCCGCUCGUAACCCAACAGAUUACAUAGUCCCUACUAGUUUUCCAAAUUAAUCAUCCGGAUACAUAUAAUUUAGAAAAAUAUGUAGAAGUUGGUGACCUGAUGACGGGGGAGUCGACGAUCGAAGCCCAGUGAACAGCAGCCCAGUCUGUCAAGUGGGGAAAGGGUAUGAUAGCAAGUGUGUUGGGACUAGAUAGAAAUGUGAACUCCAACAAUUUCUUUCCCUGAAAUUAUUUUCGUAUUGAACCUUGGACAUAUAAGAGUUCCGAAUCAUCUGCUUUCGUUUUAUCAUUGUCAAACAGUGCAUUUAUUUUGAUGUUAGUUUUGUGGAGGGGGCGAAAAAAUAUGGGAGCCGCUAUUACAUUCAUAGAAGUUAGUUAUCCCACCUUAUGUCUAUCCCUGUUAUAAAAUUAUCAAAUAUUAAAAAAAUAUUAUUCUUAUUAAAUU
rnacentral:lncRNA from 1 species